rnacentral:tRNA from 1 species
GAAGGUACAGCUCAGUGGUAGAGUGUGUACUUAGCAUGCAUGAGGUCCUGGGAUCAAUCCCCAGUACCUUCU